GACCUGAUAGCACAGUUGGUUAGUGCGUCUGUUGGUUUUCGUAUCGGUCGACUUCUGUUAACAGAUGACCCUGGUUCGAACCCGGGUCAGGUCG